rnacentral:tRNA from 1 species
GCUGGGAUGGCGGAAUUGGUAGACGCAAUAGACUCAAAAUCUAUUGUCCGCAAGGGCGUGAGGGUUCGAGUCCCUCUCCCAGCA